CGGAUGUAGCCUGCAACCCGGCUACAUGAAGCUGGAAUCGCUAGUAAUCGCAGAUCAGAAUGCUGCGGUGAAUACGUUCCCGGGUCUUGUACACACCGCCCGUCACACCAUGGGAGCCGGGAAUGCCCGAAGUCGGUGACCCAACCGUAAGGAGGGAGCCGCCGAGGGCAGGCCUGGUAACUGGGGUGAAGUCGUAACAAGGUAGC
rnacentral:rRNA from 1 species